rnacentral:rRNA from 1 species
CGAAGGGGCGUAGCGUUGUUCGGAGUUUACUUGGGCGUAAAGACGCACGUAGGCGGAUUUUAAAGUUCAGGGGUGGAAAUACCCGGGGCCGUCAACCCCGGAACCUGCCUUUGAUACUGGAAGUCUUGAGUAUGGUAGAGGUGAGUGGAAUUCCGAGUGUAGAGGUGAAAUUCGUAGAUAUUCGGAGGAACACCAGUGGCGAAGGCGGCUCACUGGACCAUUACUGACGCUGAGGUGCGAAAGCGUGGGGAGCAAACAGGAUU